rnacentral:lncRNA from 1 species
UUUUUGCUGAAAAGCCGGUAAAAAACUGUUUGGUAAAUCUAAAAGCAGCUUUCCCGAACAGCAGCUUUUAGCUGAAAAGCUGCUGUUAGAAAAAGCAGGUCCUCCCAUGCUUUUAGAAAAAGCUGCUUUUCAGUUUUUGCAGAAUGCUGUUAUAGAUUUCAUUAUAAAACCUCACCAAAAUCAUUAUUAUUUUUUAUAUUAUAACUCAAAAUAAGUAAAUUUCAAAAAAUUACCAAACAGUUAUCUGAUUUCUACAACAGCACUUAUUUUACCAGCACUUUUUCUGACAGCACAGCAAUUUUUAACAGCACUCCCAAACAGACCCUA